CUGCCGGUAGCACGGGAGCGUGUGCGAGCACGCACUGCGGUCUACUGGGACUCGCCGUGUAUAAUGGCGGGAAGUUGGAGGCAAUAACAGGUCUGUGAUGCCCUUAGAUGUUCUGGGCUGCACGCGCGCUACACUGACGGAGGCAGCGAGAGGUGCUUGGCCGGAAGGUCUGGCGAAUCUUGGGAAGCUCUGUCGUGCUGGGGAUGGACCAUUGCAAUUAUUGGUCCUCAACGAGGAAUUCCUAGUAAGCGCGAGUCAUUAGCUUGCGCUGAUUACGUCCCUGCCCUUUGUACACACCGCCCGUCGCU
rnacentral:rRNA from 1 species